AGAGUUUGAUUCUGGCUCAGGAUGAACGCUAGCUACAGGCUUAACACAUGCAAGUCGAGGGGCAGCAUGAACUUAGCUUGCUAAGUUUGAUGGCGACCGGCGCACGGGUGAGUAACACGUAUCCAACCUGCCGAUGACUCGGGGAUAGCCCUUCGAAAGAAAGAUUAAUACCGGAUGGCAUAGUUUUCCCGCAUGGGAUGAUUAUUAAAGAAUUUCGGUUGUCGAUGGGGAUGCGUUCCAUUAGGCAGUUGGCGGGGUAACGGCCCACCAAACCUACGAUGGAUAGGGGUUCUGAGAGGAAGGUCCCCCACAUUGGAACUGAGACACGGUCCAA
rnacentral:rRNA from 1 species